rnacentral:rRNA from 1 species
AUUGAACGCUGGCGGCAUGCUUUACACAUGCAAGUCGGACGGCAGCACAGAGAAGCUUGCUUCUUGGGUGGCGAGUGGCGAACGGGUGAGUAAUAUACCGGAACGUACCGAGUAAUGGGGGAUAACUAAUCGAAAGAUUAGCUAAUACCGCAUAUUCUCUGAGGAGGAAAGUAGGGGACCUUCGGGCCUUGCGUUAUUCGAGCGGCCGAUAUCUGAUUAGCUAGUUGGUGGGGUCAAGGCCUACCAAGGCGACGAUCAGUAGCGGGUCUGAGAGGAUGUUCCGCCACACUGUGACUGAGGCACGGCCCAGACUCUUGCCGGAGGCAGCAGUGCGGACUUUUGGACAAUGGGCGCAUACCUGAUCCAGCCAUGCCGCGUGUCUGAAGAAGGCCUUCUUGUUGUAAAGGACUUUUGUCAGGGAAGAAAAGGCUGUUGCUAAUCUCAAUAGCUCAUGACGCUGCCUGUAGAAUAAGCUCCGGCUGACUACGUG